UGAGGAAGAUAAAAGAGCUUGUUUUCUUGAAGAUGAAAAGAAAAGAGAAGAAGAAAAGAGAAAGGUGUGCAUCGGUUAGCUCUUGGAAAGGAAGAUGAAAUUUUAUUUAUUUUUCUUGGGUGAGGGUCGAUGGGUAGGAGGAGAGAA